rnacentral:rRNA from 1 species
GCGAACGUGGUGCGAGCAGCCGGUGGAAGCUGUGGGGUCGGGGUGUUGUCCGUAAUUACUGUGCGUAAAGAGGUCGUAGGGGGUGUGUCGAGUGGUUCGUGGAAACUGACAGCUUAAGUGUGGGCGUGCGGGGGAUACGGGCAGACUAGAGUACUGCAGGGGAGACGGGAAGUCCUGGUGUAGCGGUGGAAUGCGCAGAUAUCGGGAGGAACACCGGUGGCGAAGGCGGUUCUCUGGGCCUGUACUGACGCUGAGGAGCGAAAGCGUGGGGAGCGAACAGGAUUAGAUACCCCUGUAGUC